rnacentral:rRNA from 1 species
GAUCAUGGCUCAGAUUGAACGCUGGCGGCAGGCUUAACACAUGCAAGUCGAACGGUAGCAGGUAAGUACUUGUACUUAUGCUGACGAGUGGCGGACGGGUGAGUAAUGCUUGGGGAUCUGGCUUAUGGAGGGGGGAUAACGACGGGAAACUGUCGCUAAUACCGCGUAGAAUCGAGAGAUGAAAGUGUGGGACCUCGGCCGACAUGCCAUAGGAUGAACCCAACGUGGGAGUUAGGUAGUUGGG